rnacentral:lncRNA from 10 species
CUGUCUCCCAGGCUGGAGUGCAGUGGCAUGAUCACAGCUCACUGCAAGCUCCGCCUCCCACGUUCAUGCCAUUCUCCUGCCUCAGCCUCCUGAGUAGCUGGGACUACAGACGCCUGUCACUAUGCCCAGCUAACUUUUUGUAUUUUUAGUACAGACGGGGUUUCACUGUGUUAGCCAGGAUGGUCUCAAUCUCCUGACUUCGUGAUCAGCCCACCUCGGACUACCAAAGUGCUGGGAUUACAGGCAUGAGCCACCACACCGGGCCUGGAAAUUACCUCAUUCUGAAUGUGUCAUGUUUUUUCUAAAAUAAUCAUUUUUCUUUUAUUCACGUUGUUUUAAAUAGAGUGCUUUGGAUACAAAGACUAUUAGGAACUGUUCAUAAAUUGUUGGUUUUGCAGUUUGAAUUGUGCUAUUUGAGGAGGCAGGAAGGAGAUGCAGCAGAACGGAAAAUCAGAGAGAUUCCAAGCAUAAGAAGGAUUUGGUGCGCUGUUGCUGGUUCUGAGAUGGAGGAAGCCACGUGCAAGGACUGAAGAGAGGCCUGUGGAACCUGAGGAUGGCCCGCAGCUGAUAGCCUGCAAAUAAAUGGAAUCUCAGUCCUAUAACUGCAAGGAAUUAGACUCUGCCAAUGUCAGUGAGCUUGGAAGCAGAUUCUUUCCUAGAGCCCUAGUCAGGGACACAGCCUUGCUGAUACCUUGAUUUUAGCCUGGAGAAAUCUGUGUGGGACUUCUAACUCACAGAAGUGUUAGAUAAUAAAUGGAUGUUUUUCUUAGCCGCUGAACUCAUAGUAAUCUGUUAUGGCAACAAUAAAAAACUAAUACAAAGUGUACGAGAUACAAAUCUCUUGUGUUUCUUUUUUUUUUUUUUUUUCCUAAUACACAGGAGUGAGGCAGGCAGCUCGUUAUGGUGAUAGGUGAAAUUCUCCUUAGGAACCAAUAUUUGAGGGGAACUCCAAGGUGUCUAGAAGGCUCUAUCAACCUAAGGAAUUUAGUGCACACAGAAAAGAGCAUGAGGGAUGUCCACAGAAGGCACUAACUCAUCCCCCGCAUAAUGUGAAGCAGGCUGCUCAGCUGAGUCUAGUUUAUACUGCACCGCCCCCUGACUCCACCACUACCCCUUUCUCACAGACUUGGGAGAGUUUCAGCCCAGCCCAGCCCAGCCCUCAGGCCCCUACAUGGAUAUUGAGAGCAGCUGGGAAGGGGAUGGAACAAUAAAGAGCUCACAUUUAGGUAAUAAAAGAGGGUAAGCAUAGAAGCCAAUAAACUAAACAAGAAUAGACCUCAUCAAUUAACCCCCACUAAGGCAGAGUCCCAGCAUGAAAAUAGAUUCAUC